rnacentral:rRNA from 1 species
AACGAACGCUGGCGGCAUGCCUAACACAUGCAAGUCGAACGAGACCUUCGGGUCUAGUGGCGCACGGGUGCGUAACGCGUGGGAACCUGCCCUUAGGUUCGGAAUAACUCCCCGAAAGGGGUGCUAAUACCGGAUAAUGUCUUCGGACCAAAGAUUUAUCGCCUUUGGAUGGGCCCGCGUUGGAUUAGCUAGUUGGUAGGGUAAAAGCCUACCAAGGCGACGAUCCAUGGCUGGUCUGAGAGGAUGACCAGCCACACUGGGACUGAGACACGGCCCAGACUCCUACGGGAGGCAGCAGUGGGGAAUAUUGGACAAUGGGCGAAAGCCUGAUCCAGCAAUGCCGCGUGAGUGAUGAAGGCCUUAGGGUUGUAAAGCUCUUUUACCCGGGAUGAUAAUGACAGUACCGGGAGAAUAAGCUCCGGCUAACUCCGUG